AAUAAUAUUCAUAUUACAUUGGUACCUUCGGUUUGCCAAAAGGUGAGAGAAUGAGGAUGGCGUGAGAGUGAUUACAAUCCAGCGUGAACAGUACGGUGUUAUUGUUCAUCUAUUUAUAGGCACGGGACACAGCCCAGAUAAAAGUACAUUUAUGUCCUUGGUAACUAUCUAUGAUUUUAACAAGAAUUAUUAUGACUGUAUGGUCUUUAUCCUUCUUCAGUCGUUAUCAUACUUGAGCUUCGUCAACAUGUCCAGCUAAAGUCUUUUGGAUUCUAGCUUCGUCGCCCACCCUUUAUUUCCAUUCGUUCUGUCAUGAGAGAAGUUCUCCAUUCCAAAGCCGAAGCUUCCUAUAACUAUUCAUAAUUAUACUGAAAACAUAUGGCUAGUCACAUUUUUUGAGGACCUUCGGAAGAGGAAUGCCCCCAACAGGUCCCAUCAAAUGAACCUGAGCAUGUCACCGUGAUUAACAGAAACAUUAUUAGUUAAAGAAGAGUGAUCAAAGGCACAACUUGCCUUAGACUUGAGAUUUCAGGUACCAAGUUGGUCUUCAAAUUCUCG
rnacentral:lncRNA from 1 species